rnacentral:misc_RNA from 1 species
GAAGAUAAUAGGGUUUGAGACUGCGUCCUUAACGGCGUGUGCUCGACUCUUACUCUUUUAUCCACACACACCUUUGUGCACCAUGGGACGAAAGUCCCCUUUUCACAUAAACACUAGUUAUAUGCAUGUCUUUAUACGCUCUACGGAGUAAUGUACAACUUUCAACAACGGAUCUCUUGGCUUU